CUCCUUGACGACGGUGGUUCAUCUCUCGGAGCUGCUGGAGCGAGCCGCGCAUCUGCUCCACGGCGUCUCCCACGUUGGAAACGCAGUCGUGUACGGCGGCGGAGGCGGCGGUGCGUGAUAGUUUUGAGAGGUAACUUGCAGUGUGUUUUGCGCGGGAAAGAGAGACGCCGAUGGCGAGCUUAGCUAGCCUCGCCGGAUUGUCUUGUACGGCGGAGGCGUAGCCAGCUAGCGACGUAAAACACACGUCAGGGUAGAGCGUUGCGUUGCAGCUCGUGCGGAUGAAAUCUAGAUCGUUGGUUGGUGUUGGUUGCGGAGGGAAACGGACGGCUGAGAUUGUCCGGGAAAUGAAGAGUAGGGUGGCUAAGUGAAGAAACGCCGUCGUAUAAAGCUGCCUUGCCAUCUUACUAUAGUCUUUACUUUGUUAUUGUUUUGCGGUUUUGGGUGUUUAAUUUACUUGAAAGAUUGGUGGGUUUAUGUAGGCAUUGAGGAGUGGAG
rnacentral:lncRNA from 1 species